AACGGCCGACUGAAUCCAUCAACAUCCAAUAAAACAUUUAAUUGGAUUCUCAUUCCUCUCCGCCCCCUAACACAUUUAAUUGGAUUCUCAUUCCUCUCCGCCCCCUAACGCCACCCACGCCUCCCCCCUCCGCUUGCCCCUUCCUUGGCAGAUCCGCCUAUGCCGCCCUCAAGGGCCCGUGCCCCACCACAUCUGCGCUGCCGCAAGCCCUCACCCCCGCCGCCGACCAUCGUCGCGAUGACACCGCAGCUCCUCGCCUCCGUCGUCGAGGCUGUCGGCGGGGAGGACCGCAUCGCCGGCCUCCCCGAGGAGCUCCUCGCACUCGUCUUCGGCAUGCUCGGCUCCGGCAACUGCAAGCACUGCUCCCUCAUCUGCUGACGCUGGCUCGCCAUCAAGGCCGCCUCCCGCCUCCGCCUCAUGCUCGACGCCCGGGUGCCACUCCUUUGACGACGAAGCACUCCCCGCGCUCCUCCACUAGUGCGGCUCGACGGCCUCCCUGCCACUCCGGGUGUUCCCCCUUCUUCCCUUCACCCCCUCUCCCUCCCCUCUCCCCUCCUCAGAUCCAUCGCUUGCAGCUGCACAGAUCCACCGCCUACUGCUGCUCAGAUCCACCCAUUGCUCUCCUCCCUAGCUAGCUCGAGGACCACCUCCGCAUCCUCCUCCCCCUCAUCCGGGUGCCUCGCCCCCCACAGCUACUUCGAGCCCUAUGCCCCGUGGUAGGAGGCGGCGGGACAGCAGCCACACGAGCAGGCAUUGGGGUUGGUGUACGACGCGGCGAGCGGGACGACGGCCGUGAUUUGUGAGCUCUGUUCCACUGCGCGUAGGCAAACCAGUGUAGGUGCGUGAUGCAUGGAGGCAGCUUCUCAAGCACCGUGGUGAAGGCCCACUCACUCCCCUUCGGCCACAGAUGCAGAACCUGCAGAUGGGCGAGGGGAGCUUCUUCGUGAGUGCCUUCCCUUUGUUCGUUCUGCAUACUAGUAGUUGUUAUCUCAUCUCCUCACAAUUUCAAUGCAAGCUUUUCAUCUUACAGCAUGCUAGUAUUACCCUUUGGCUAGAAACACAGAGCCUGUAGAUGUAUUGAUUUACUAUUUUAUUUCCUAAUCAACAGGACAAAGGGUGUAUGUUGCUCGAUUGAUCGAGCUGUAGAUGGUAUUUGUAGAUGUUAUGCAUACUGCACGUGUGUUAGCUUUAAUAAUGAUAGUAUCUAGGUGUAGCUUAUAACUUAUUUCUGUUUUUCAUUUUCCUGUCAUGUUUGCCAUAGUUUGGUGGAGCUUUGUGUCCUUCAACAUUUUCUAAGCAGGAGCCAGGGAGGGUGACAUGUGUCAAGUGAUUAUGAGCACGAGCUUGAAUUUGCAUGGCAAUAAACUACUUCGGAGCCGCCGCCGGCUCCUGCCUCCAUCUCGAGGACGGCGCCUCUAUGGCCUCGCUAAAUCUGAGCCCAUCAAGGCUAUGGAUCCGGGGGCAGUCAUCAAAGCUGCACUGGGAAGCCGCAGCAGCGACUUGGAACCAUCGCACGACAGUAAGCACAAGCAGCUGUCCAGCAGCGAGCUGCAACCUGCAAGCAUAAGCAGAGCUAUUUGCAACCGUAUUGUACAUAUAAGCAACAUUAAGGUUCUUCACUAACUGAUAUUUGUUUCUACUCACAGUUGUACUAUUUUGUGUUAGCAUUUUUUAGGAAACUUAUGCUAAAUCAACUAGCAUUUUGGUAAAAACUCAUAAGCAUUUUAAUUGGGUUAGUAAUGUCCUUUUACGAUCUCGUAUAGGCAUUUUAAUGUUGGUUCUCAAGAAUAUUCUACAGAGGCAAUUGUGACGGCCCAGGUUUUUAAAUGGCCAA